UGGGGAAUUUUGGACAAUGGGGGACAACCCUGAUCCAGCCAUGCCGCGUGAGUGAAGAAGGCCUUCGGGUUGUAAAGCUCUUUCGGCGGGGACGAAACGGUCCGUGACAACACCACGGACUAAUGACAGUACUCGCAGAAGAAGCACCGGCUAACUACGUGCCAGCAGCCGCGGUAAUACGUAGGGUGCAGGCGUUAAUCGGAAUUACUGGGCGUAAAGCGUGCGCAGGCGGCUCCUUAAGUCAGAUGUGAAAUCCCCGGGCUCAACCUGGGAAUUGCAUUUGAGACUGCACGGCUAGAGUGUGUCAGAGGGGGGUAGAAUUCCACGUGUAGCAGUGAAAUGCGUAGAUAUGUGGAGGAAUACCGAUGGCGAAGGCAGCCCCCUGGGAUAACACUGACGCUCAUGCACGAAAGCGUGGGGAGCAAACAGGAUUAGAUACCCUCGUAGUCCCUGAGCGGGCUGGCAAGGCGCAU
rnacentral:rRNA from 1 species